rnacentral:rRNA from 1 species
UGAGACACGGUCCAAACUCCUACGGGAGGCAGCAGUGAGGAAUAUUGGUCAAUGGGCGCUAGCCUGAACCAGCCAAGUAGCGUGAAGGAUGACUGCCCUAUGGGUUGUAAACUUCUUUUAUAUGGGAAUAAAGUGCAGUAUGUAUACUGCUUUGCAUGUACCUUAUGAAUAAGGAUCGGCUAACUCCGUGCCAGCAGCCGCGGUAAUACGGAGGAUCCGAGCGUUAUCCGGAUUUAUUGGGUUUAAAGGGAGCGUAGGCGGGUUGUUAAGUCAGUUGUGAAAGUUUGCGGCUCAACCGUAAAAUUGCAGUUGAUACUGGCAUCCUUGAGUACAGUAGAGGUAGGCGGAAUUCGUGGUGUAGCGGUGAAAUGCUUAGAUAUCACGAAGAACUCCGAUUGCGAAGGCAGCCUGCUGGACUGUAACUGACGCUGAUGCUCGAAAGUGUGGGUAUCAAACAGGAUUAGAUACCCUGGUAGUCCACACAGUAAACGAUGAAUACUCGCUGUUUGCGAUAUACAGUAA